rnacentral:rRNA from 1 species
CAAAAACAUGUCUUUUUGACAAUUAUUUAAAGUCUGGCCUGCCCAAUGAUUAUUUAAAUGGCCGCAGUAUUUUGACUGUGCAAAGGUAGCAUAAUCAUUAGUUUUUUAAUUGAAAACUGGUAUGAAAGGUUUGAUGAAAAAUUAGCUGUCUCUUUAUUAAUAAAUUAUAAUUUUAAUUUUAAGUAAAAAAGCUUAAAUUUUUUAGAAAGACGAGAAGACCCUAUAGAGUUUAAUUUUUGUUUAUAUUUUAUUUAUUGGAUUUUUCUAAUUUUAAACAAGAAUUUUGUUGGGGUGAUGUAAAAAUUUAAUUAACUUUUUAUAAUUUUAACACUAGUUUGUGAUUAAUUGAUCCCUUUAUUAGGAUUAUAAGAUUAAAUUACCUUAGGGAUAACAGCGUAAUUUUUUUUGAAAGUUCUUAUUGAUAAAAAAGUUUGCGACCUCGAUGUUGGAUUAAAAUUUAUAUUUGGUGUAGAAGCUGAAAUAUUAGGUCUGUUCGACCUUUAAAAUUUUACAUGAUCU